GAGAGAGAGAGAGAGAGAGGAGGAAAAAAGAGAGGAAAAAAGAAAAUCACAGCCAUACAGGCAGUGUUCCUCAACCAAGCCAUAUCUGCAGCUCAGCAGUUGGAGAGGACAUUAUAUGGCAGUCUGCUCCUCCCUCUCCUCUCUCCAAAGGGCCCCCAUCUGUCAGCUAUUAGUUCACCAGGGGCUGGUAGCGGAGCGCUCAGAAAAGCUGGCAGUGUGCGUGGGACCAGAGGACAGUUUCACCUCCAGGAGCAGGGCAAAGAGGAUGGGGCAAGGGCAGCCACCCCCGCUCAAUUCAGACAAGGAGAGAACACAGCCAUGCUCACAACUCAGGAAGGGAAUCCCGGCUGCAGGCUAAAGAUGAUCCAGUUCCCUGCACUGUCCUUUAGACCAUCCAAGCGGUGAGACAGAGGUUCUAAGGCAUGAGGAGACCAGAGUUUGUCCAUUACCAACCAGCAAAGGUCCUUUUUUCACAGCGGAGAGAAGUCAAAAUAACACAUGCUGUCGACGUGGGAACAGCUGGGAAGAGUGGAGGCUUUGAGGGGUGGAAUGCCGGAGGCCGAGCCACAGAUCAAUCAUCUGCCGGGGUGAAAAUAACCACCCUGACCUGAUCACCACAAAAGAGAGCAACUGAGCUUAAACUUAAACACGCUUUACAUAAAAAUGUGUAUAUUAAACUCAUAACCACACACAGUUAUGAAGACACUUAGCUGUCCCCUGAAUAUAGCAGCUGUAGCAAACAAAGUUUCCUAUGUUUUAUUUCAUUAUGUUACUGCCACCUUUUGUUUUGAGGCAUGAAGAUUCCGCCCAAGGACGAACCGCGCUUACAACAAUGGACAACUUCCACUUGUUUACAUAUUUUCUAGGGCGAACAAGGUAUGUGGUCACUGUUGUUACAUAGAUUACACAGACACAGGCUGUGGUUCUCAAAAAUCAGUGUCCAGUCAGCUGAGGAAGCCAUGAUUUUGCUAUUGCCGUUCUCUGAGAAAGCAUGGCGGUCAAAUAAACACUGCUAAGACAGCAUAUAGAGUUUUCUGUGCACAGUUUUCUUUGUAAGAUAACACCACUCAGCAAAGAUAAACUGUGCAGCCAUAAGUCAACACCAAACAACAUAACUUGGACCUGUUCUCCCCAAAAAGCUCAUCUGGAACUUAUUUUUAAAUUUUUCAUCCCCCUGCAUUACGGAAUUCUCUUGGGUAUUCAAUGAACACACCUUAGCUUGCUAGAUAAGGAAAUAGAGAGCUUGGAGACUGACUGGACAGUGUGGCUUAGUUACAUUUCAAUAAUAAAAUUGAUUUCUCUCAGUCAACUUCAUCAUACAACAUACUUUACUAAUGUCUGUGGAUGUGUAUAUUUGUUCAAUACUUUCGAGCGUUACCCUUUUUAUCUUAGCAUCCAGAGACAUUGGUAUCAAAGACAGAGUUGAGUGGGAAGGUCCCAAAUUCUCAUUUAGGGGUUUGCUGACGCUCAACACCUGCUCCGCAUGUCUCUCAUUAGCGCAUUCCUGCUAGCCCUGCGCCCUGUGUUUACACUGCUCAGUUUAAUGGGGACAUUAGAAGGUGAUGUUGUUCUACGUUGCAGUGUGAGAUGUUGUAUUUACUGAGUCUGCUCUGGCCCAUGGGCAAUUAGCUGUCUCUUUAGUGAGCGCAGGUGCAGGCAGUGGUGGCUGGUUAAUGCAGGGCACUCAGGCGCCAGCAUUUUCAGAGAAGAAAAUCUACUUAAACAUAUUGAACAUAAAUGAAUUAGCUAAUGGAAAAUUAUUAUGAAAUAAAUAUAGUUUACACAUACAAUGCACCUGUAGUCGUGCCAGCAUUCAUUACAAUUUAAAUUUUAAAAAAAAAACGUAGCUAGCUGACAGGUACUUUCAGGAGAUGACAACUUCGAGUGGAAUCAUGGAGCUGGCUAGCUGGAUGCAGUGUCUUGACACCAAAGAGUUGACAACAACAUACCUAAAACUUCUGAAAUCUUUCUGAAAAAAAAAAAUGCGAAUAGCAC